rnacentral:rRNA from 1 species
GACGAACGCUGGCGGCGUGCCUAAUACAUGCAAGUAGAACGCACAGUUUAUACCGCAGCUUGCUACACCAUAGACUGUGAGUUGCGAACGGGUGAGUAACGCGUAGGUAACCUGCCUGGUAGCGGGGGAUAACUAUUGGAAACGAUAGCUAAUACCGCAUAAUAUUGAUUAUUGCAUGAUAAUUGAUUGAAAGAUGCUAUUGCAUCACUACCAGAUGGACCUGCGUUGUAUUAGCUAGUAGGUGAGGUAACGGCUCACCUAGGCGACGAUACAUAGCCGACCUGAGAGGGUGAUCAGCCACACUGGGACUGAGACACGGCCCAGACUCCUACGGGAGGCAGCAGUAGGGAAUCUUCGGCAAUGGACGAAAGUCUGACCGAGCAACGCCGCGUGAGUGAAGAAGGUUUUCGGAUCGUAAAGCUCUGUUGUAAGAGAAGAACGGGUGUGAGAGUGGAAAGUUCACACUGUGACGGUAUCUUACCAGAAAGGGACGGCUAACUACGUG